GCGGGUGUAGCUCAAUGGUAGAGUUCUGGCCUUCCAAGCCAGCUGUGAGGGUUCGAUCCCCUUCACCCGCUC
rnacentral:tRNA from 1 species